CCUUUAAGGGAAACUCGGUGAGGGGUGGGUAUGGGAAGGUGAGUAGGAACUACACUAGUCUGGUGAUCUCAAGAUGGUUUCUGGUAAGCUGGUCAAUCUCCAGAUCCUCAGGCUGACCUUGUCUUCAUUAUCUGAUCAGUAGAUAGUACUGGAUCCCCUGAAUUAUCUCAAAAUAUCAUAUCUCUCUUGACUUCAUAAAUUUAUUGGUAGGUGAGGAUAAUUGACAGUGCACAAGUAGAUUUACAGAUUUCCCAGGAAUUUGGGAGUUAACAGGCCUAGGAGAGAGACUGGCUUAGGAAGUGACAGACCUGGAAAAGCAGGUGGGACUUCUGACUAAGUUUUAUUUUCUUGUCCUUUCUUUAUGUCUCCUUUCUACCUAUUUUUAAUUUUUUCUAUCCUACCUAAGGACUGCUACAAAUCAUGUGACAAUAUUAAUGUGCCCACAGUUAUAUUCUCAGAGUGUUGAGCGAUAUUAGGUUUACAUUUCAUUUAAUUCCCAUAAGUUAAAAGAGAGACACAUCCCCAUUUUAUAGAUGAAUAAAGUUUCAGCACAACAAUGCAAGUGCCAAGCCCCACCAAAUCUCAGAGGCACAUAGCUAGAACAUGUCUUUCUCACCAGACACCUGCAGGUUGGCUGUGGUUCAGUGGAUCUGGCUACACUCAGCAAGGCUCUGGUCCAGGCUGGGCUGUGUCCAGCCAUGCUCUGUGUGUCCUUUAUUCUGAGAUCAGCAGGCAACUAGGGCACGUUCAUCCUAAAUAUGUCAGGUAAAAAUGUGCCACCUGGGUGCAUGCCUGUAGCCUCAGCAAAAGCGGUGUGCUAGGCCACUCGGUGAGAUCCUGCCUCUAAAUAAAAUAAAAAUAGAGCUGGGGAUGUGGCUCAGUGGCUGAGUGUCUCUAUCCUGGGUACCCCCCCCCCACCGCCCCAAAAAAAUGUGCCACUUGGGUGUAAGAAUUUCUGAGAGUCGUGGGUGCAGAAGAGGAUUCUUCCUUCCAUUUUCUGCCUAAAAUCAGGGCAUAAAUUUCCCUUGAGAAAGGGUCUACCUGUCCCAUACCAGAAAGAGGAGAGACUCUAGGACCAGAGGUGGAAAGCCAGCUCCUGGUCACUCUGCAGAAACAACCUUAUCCUGUUUAUUUCCCAGUCACUUCCCCAUGAUUCAGCCCUCCUGCAAGCCCAAGCCCCCUUUCCUUUGUUAAGGUGGUACGUAAGGCCCCAAGGCUGACCACUUAAAUUUCACUUUUUUUUCUAUAAACUUCCAUGCAUGUAACAUACUGAUAAAAAUUAUAUGCCUUUUCUUCUGUACAUCUCUUUUGUUACCUUUAAAUUUACAGACCUCCAGGAAUGAAUCUAAAAAGAUGGAGGAAAAGUUUUUCUUUCUCAACAAUCUCAUGGCCAGAAGGAUCAAAGGCACAACUCAGCCACACAUUUGAAGGCUUUGUUCCUGUCACUUCCACUAAAGGUCCCUUGGCCAAAGCACAAGAAUGCAGCCAAGUCAAGUCAUGGGCCACACGGAGAGGAGAGGGGCUGGUUUAAGGCUUCCAUUGUCUGAUACCAAAGCUGGAGCUGCUUCCAUUUCGGGCCCCCCCUUAGGAAUUCCUCUGGCUUGUUGUCUUUACUGCCCAACAAAGCAAUUAGUUACAUACUUUUGCCACAUUAUUCAGGUCUUAGUUCUUUGGUGUUUGCUUUGUGUCCCCAGUAGAAUUUUUGAGUUAUUUCAUCAAGGGCACUUCUGGGUCACCCUAGCACUGAUCGUGCUGGCUGAGAGAAGGUACACAGUGAGUAAUUGUAAUGGCAAUGGUAUUGUUUUUUUCUUUCUUGCAAUCCUGAAGAUCAAUCAAAACAAGAACCUCAUGCAUGGAAAAUGUGUGUGUCCUACCACCGAGCUGUACCCCCAGCCCAUAAUUUGUAGAAGGACUGGUCAGGUGCAUUUUCUCCUACCUUCCUACCAAGAAACCUGUGGUAUGCACCACUGUGGGUAUCCUGGCAGAUUCCACAGAAACAAGCCCCGAAGAGCUGAGCACAUUACUGUGGCCCCACAGUGCUGGGAGAAUUUGACAGCUCUUCAUUAUGUCGGAGCAUCUUCUAUCAGCAGGUAUGGCUAGAUUAAUCAGCACUGCAUCCUGGAAGACUUAAUUAGCAGCUCCUUGCCAGAACUCGGCUUAUUAAAAGCAGACAAGGUAGGAAGGAAGGUAGGAGGGAAGAAAGGAAGAAUUCUAAACUUAUAACCUUAUUCUGAGUUACUCUUCAUGCAAACCUGAGACCCAAAUCUCACCUGAACAGUCAAGAUCUGGAAGCUAACUCAGGAAAGGCUUCCCUCUCAGACUGAUGAGGCUAAUGCUGGCGAUGCUUACUUUUCCCUCACUGUGCACAGGGUCAUUCAUCCAUCAACUUUGUUCUUCAUCUUACUUCAUCUUCUAGAUUCUACUGUAUAAUUAUUAUCCUUUUGCAUCUGAGGAAAAUCCAUCUUAAAGAGAUUUGUGACCUUCCCUGCGUCCCAGUACUUACAAGAUGGUGAAGUUGUGAAAGAAAUCCUGGAAAAAUAAUCUUUGCUCUUGAGCUUUCUAUGUUAAGUUCCUACUGUGAUCAUUUAAUUUUCAUAAACUAUUUCAAACAUUAAAAAGUGUGGAAGAUACUAGGGUACCCAUCAACCAGUUUUGAAAUAAAAAGGGGCUUUUUUAAUUUUUUUAAUGAUCAAUUUUUUAAGAAUUACAAACCAAAAAUAUUCCAUAAUUCCUCCCUCUCUACCCAGAGGCCACCUUUAUUUCUGUUCAGUAUUUCUAAUUCAGUGUGAUCAAAUAACAUUAUUUAUCCAUUCUCUGUUGGAUUUGGUUAUGUGUCGGUGAGUAUUUUCUGUAUGUGUCUUCUUUAUGCGUAUGUUCUAGAAGUUUCCUAGAAUACACUAAAAAGUGCAGGGGCUGUCAGAGAGCAUGCUUGUUUUCCACCACGUGGCCCUAGAGCUCUCCAGGGUGGUGAAAGCCACGCCCACUCCCCUAGGAGGUCUGGCUGUUCUCCCAUCUCCUCAUCUCCUCAGCAGCCAGC
rnacentral:lncRNA from 1 species